CAGGCUCGUUGCAAACGAUUCAUCACUACUGUACGCAUGCGUUGUCGUCGUUGGUGGAGAAGCUGUUGUGACGUGUAUUAUAAAGUUGCUGGUGUUCUUAAACAAAGAUGCCACGUAAAAAGGGAUUCCGGAGAUCUGAGGCGGCUAAGAGGCGCAUGGCUGUUGUCAGCCAUGUUGAGCCUCUUGUAAAAAGACCCGCAUAUGAGGUUGGGCCUCCUCUCAAAAGUGCUCCAAUACCGACAAUUUAUUGUCCCAAAACUGUCAAUGAAAAAGUCCAUGUGACUGCCAAAACUGCCAAUGAGAAAGUCCACGUGACUGCCAAAACUGUCAAUGAGAAAGUCCACGCGACUGCCAAUAAAACUGUCAUUGAAACUGUCAUUGAAACUGUCAUUGAGAAAGUCCAUGGGACUGCCAAUAAAACUGUCAUUGAGAAAGUCCAUGGGACUGCCAAUAAGACUGUCAAUGAGAAAGUGCAUGUGAUUGACAAGGUAUCUGCCAAUGAAGCUGAUAAAGUACUGGAUGGAUCAGUUAUAAGAGGAUCGUUCAGUCAAGACGAUAUGCGAUUUGGUAAUACAAGAAAUAAGCAGUGUGCGGCUAUCAGUUUAACAUCUGUACUUCAGCACUGUGUAAAAAAUGUUUUGACAUGGCAAACUGCAGAUUUGGAUAAUGUACUGAAUAAGGGAAAUGACCUUUAUGUUGUUUUAAAAAAUACAAGGCAAAUAGGAAAAGGCCAGUGUGAAUACAUAUUGAUUCCAGAACUUCCCAGAACAUGUACGUACUGUGACAAAUAUUUUGAAAUAAAGUUUGGUUCAUCUUUCGGUGGCUUUA